CCUACGGGAGGCAGCAGUGAGGAAUAUUGGUCAAUGGGCGCGAGCCUGAACCAGCCAAGUAGCGUGAAGGAUGACUGCCCUACGGGUUGUCAACUUCUUUUAUAAAGGAAUAAAGUUAGGCACGUGUGCCUUUUUGUAUGUACUUUAUGAAUAAGGAUCGGCGAACUCCGUGCCAGCAGCUGCGGUAAUACGGAGGAUCCGAGCGUUAUCCGGAUUUAUUGGGUUUAAAGGGAGCAUAGAUGGGUGGUUAAGUCAGUUGUGAAAGUUUGCGGCUCAACCGUAAAAUUGCAAUUGAUACUGGCAGCCUUGAGUACAGUUGAGGUAGGCGGAAUUCGUGGUGUAGCGGUGAAAUGCUUAGAUAUCACGAAGAACACCGAUUGCGAAGGCAGCUUACUAAACAGCCACUGACAUUGAUGCGCGAAAGUGUGGGUAUCAAACAGGAUUAGAUACCCGGGUAGUC
rnacentral:rRNA from 1 species